GACGUAGGGGGCCAGCGUUGCUCGGAAUUACUGGGCGUAAAGGGUUCGUAGGCGGUGUGGCAAGUCGGAAGUGAAAUCUCCAGGCUUAACUUGGAGGCUGCUUCCGAAACUGCCGUGCUAGAGUGCGGGAGAGGUCAGUGGAAUUGCAGGUGUAGCGGUGAAAUGCGUAGAUAUCUGCAGGAACACCCGUGGCGAAGGCGGCUGACUGGAUCGCAACUGACACUGAGGAACGAAAGCUAGGGGAGCAAACAGG
rnacentral:rRNA from 1 species